UACGUAGGGGGGCAAGCGUUGUCCGGAUUUAUUGGGCGUAAAGAGCUCGUAGGCGGUUCGUCACGUCGGCUGUGAAAACCUGAGGCUCAACCUCAGGCCUGCAGUCGAUACGGGCGGACUUGAGUACUGCAGGGGAGACUGGAAUUCCUGGUGUAGCGGUGAAAUGCGCAGAUAUCAGGAGGAACACCGGUGGCGAAGGCGGGUCUCUGGGCAGUAACUGACGCUGGAGGAGCGAAAGCGUGGGGAGCGAAACAGG
rnacentral:rRNA from 1 species